GCCUGGCCAGGGACCUGUGUUGUGUACCUGUGCAUUCUCGUGCAGUAGCAGUCAAAAUGACACGAGCCACUGCGAAGCGUUCCUCUCAACUGUCAUCAGCGUAGACACCAUUGGCCUCAUGGACAGGUACAGGCAGUACACACACAACUUGGGAAACUUUUACAAUUUUCUCUUGUUUGCUUUCCUAAG